CCUACGGGUGGCAGCAGUGGGGAAUAUUGGACAAUGGGCGAAAGCCUGAUCCAGCCAUGCCGCGUGUGUGAAGAAGGCCUUCGGGUUGUAAAGCACUUUCAGUGGGGAAGAAAGCCUUGGGGCUAAUACCCUCGAGGAAGGACAUCACCCACAGAAGAAGCACCGGCUAACUCCGUUCCAGCAGCCGCGUUAAUACGGAGGGUGCGAGCGUUAAUCGGAAUUACUGGGCGUAAAGCGCGCGUAGGCGGUCUGAUAAGCCGGUUGUGAAAGCCCCGGGCUCAACCUGGGAACGGCAUCCGGAACUGUCAGGCUAGAGUGCAGGAGAGGAAGGUAGAAUUCCCGGUGGAGCGGUGAAAGGCGUAGAGAUCGGGAGGAAUACCAGUGGCGAAGGCGGCCUUCUGGACUGACACUGACGCUGAGGUGCGAAAGCGUGGGUAGCAAACAGGAUUAGAUACCCUAGUAGUC
rnacentral:rRNA from 1 species